rnacentral:lncRNA from 1 species
GGCGGGAACUGGGCGUUCGGUUGCAAGAUCCCUUCAACUCCCUCGUGUCCGAGCCCGAGCUUUGUCUUGUAUCCGAGAUCUAGUGGACGCGAGGUAGUUGCACGCCAGCCCCGCAGGUCCCAGACAUCCCCGGGAAGCGUCCUUCCAGGCGGUCACCCUCACCCUCCAGCCAGGGGACACCUAGGAGCCCGAAGCCGGCCCAGUUACCCAGGGGACAAGGCUGUGUCCUGAAGGCCGUUGUUGGCUGUCUCAGCUAACCAGUUCUUCAAAACUCAGCACAGUCGACACCUUCCACUCGACAGGCUUGCAGUUUCAAGAGUUCAGCUUUUGUAAAUCUUCCCUACACUGACUGCAUUUUCCUUCUGUUACAGCAAUAUGGAUAUGCAACUUAUUUUCUUGGUCAGGCUGAAGUAGGGAAUGUACUGUUUGUUAGUGGAUGGCUCCUGUUCCUAAUAGAGGAUCUCACACUUUGUAAAGCACCAGGGAAUAAAUGCAUUCAGCCUUUUAUAGUGG